rnacentral:misc_RNA from 1 species
GUAAAUAUAAGAAUCCUUUUGCAAUAUAUAUAUAUAUAUUGGAAGAAAAACUUGCGGAUGAAAACCAAACUCGUUGUCCCAAGUUCACCCAUGUGCAUUGAGUGUGACUAAGAGAGCUUGAACUCAUAUUAAAAUGAUUUCAUCAUAAGAUUAAAUAUUUACGUAUAAAUUUGUAUACUCUAUAGACAAAUUUUAAUUAAUUUUGAAUAUAUCUCGAUAUAAAUAUUUAGUCUAACGGUCAUUAAACUUGAUUAGACACACACACAGGUUCUAAUGCACCCCAAAAUCUGUUAGUGGGGAAUUGACUUUCUUGUUUCUCCAAGGAUCCAUAACUGGUAUUGCCUGACAUCAGGAAAAAUUUCAACUCUGAACAGACGAGUGAAUGUAUAAUAAACCAUCAACCAUCAUUUGAGGGUGUGCAUGCAUGAUGAAAGAAAUGGCAGCAUGCAUAAGAUGCAAAACUGUAGCAUAUCUGAAACGGCAUGAACUUGCAGCUUGUGUGUAUCAUUAUUCAAAAACUUUCAGCAGUAGAUUGCAAUGAGUUCAUUGAUUUUUACUUUUGUCAACUCUCUUCAUCCACAAGAAUGGUCGACUCAUUGCCGAUGCCAAUGUCCGUCAAAGUUGCCAUUUCAUCAUCCAGCAAUGAUGGUAGAGGUGAACCCUCUUCCUGGAGAAAUAAUUUUGGCUUGAUGGACUUGAGUUUGAAAAAGCUUUCGCAAAGAAUUUUUAGCUUGCCUACCUAAAAAUGAAUUAAGAACUUUAAUGAGUCUUAAAAGAAUAUACAAAAUGAUGUGGCUUUAGUAAAAGUAAUGUGAACAUCACCGUUGUAGUGGCUGGCAGUUUCUUUGUUAGUAACGGUUUCUCACAAAUGGAUGCACCCACACAUUUCAAAUUGACCGAUAGAAGUCCAGAAGCCAUUUUCUGAGGGCCUGAUGUUCCAACUGAUGGCCUUUCACCUUCAAUGCCAUGAAAAGCCUUAAGCUCAGCAAACCUGGGAUGCUCUUUGAUUUCAUCUGGAUUGUCAUGCAACUUCGACAUAACUAAGCGAACAUAUCGGAUUUCAGAGUCCUUCCUUUCACGAAGACUUACCUCACUUCCAUUCAGUAUUUCAACUUUUGAUAAUCGUGCAAUCAAAACAAACCUUGGGAUACCACUUCUUCCGGUAUCAGCUAUUGGAUUUUCAGAAAGCCUGAUAUCCACCAAUUUGGGGAAUGAGUUCAGUGAGUCAACAGAGGCCAGAUCCUCAAUGUUGUUACCUCCCAGAAGAAGGCAAUGCAAGUUUUGAAAAGGCAUUUUGACAUUAGAUUCAGAUCCACUAAGCAAUUUUUGAAUAGUAUCAGCAUCUGGGUAAAAGAUGUGCUUCAAAUUGUUUUUGUUCAAAUGAAGCUGCUCCAAACUUCUCAACAAAGAGAGCUUCAAGAUUUCAUUCCAUUCAGCUAUUGAAUUAUUUUCCAAGUUCAGAAGCCGCAAAGAACCAAACCCUUGAACAAUUGAUGAAGAUGUUGGCAUUAUUCUACUUAUGCCAUUUCUCAUCAGAUGUAGCUCCUCAAUCAUUGGCAAUAAAUGAUUAAGUUCUUCAACCUGUGUCCAAUUUAUGCCAGUAUUGUUUAAAACUAAGAUACGGAUGUUUUUCAGUUGAAGUAGCCCAGUAAUGUUCUGCGACAUUAAAUUAUCAGACAAAUUGACGGCUGUAAGAGCUGGUAAUUGCUCACAAAUGGUACUGACAUCCUUCCAUUCUGAAAUCAAAUUUCCUGUCAAGUCUAACUCCUUCAGAUUUGGUACUAAACUGCUGAUAUCGCUUGGGUUUCCAGGGGUGCUAACGCCUAAAUAAGGUAGUGAAGCACCUUUCAACUCUUCAAAUCUACUUAGCUUAUCUUGAAUUUUCUCUUUGCCCACAAGUUCAACAGAUACCCGUUUGUUGCUAGCUGAAAGCACGUACAUUUCAUCCUCUUCUUCUUUGGUGGACUCGCCUUUGUACCUGAUAUGGAGAGCUUCUAAGAACGAAAUGCCAGGACUCAAAUUCUGGGUCCGAACAAAGGAACCUGACCGCUCGGAUUUCGCUUGGAAGUAUCGGACGCCGUUCACUGACCCAUCGUGCUUGCCUUCUCCAUUGUCCCAAUCGACACCGACCCACAUCCCUGAAUAUCCCUGAACAGGCCCCACGUACUUGACUGUCCCGAUUCGGCUAGGAUCGCUUUCUGAAUGGACUCGCUGGCCGAGUUUAAAAGAGUCGGGACUUGACUCGGUCGAUUCCUGCAUCUUCUUCCCUAAAAUCACUGUUUCCAAGUUCCGGCUGGCGAUUUUACUUUGGAGGUCGGGC